UACAGAGGUCUCAAGCGUUGUUCGGAUUCAUUGGGCGUAAAGGGUGCGUAGGUGGCGCCGUAAGUCAGGUGUGAAAUCUCGGGGCUUAACUCCGAAACUGCAUUUGAUACUGCGGUGCUUGAGGACUGGAGAGGAGACUGGAAUUCAUGGUGUAGCAGUGAAAUGCGUAGAGAUCAUGAGGAAGACCAGUGGCGAAGGCGGGUCUCUGGACAGUUACUGACACUGAGGCACGAAGGCCAGGGGAGCAAACGGG
rnacentral:rRNA from 1 species